GAUGAACGCUGGCGGCGUGCCUAAUACAUGCAAGUCGAGCGAACAGACGAGGAGCUUGCUCCUCUGACGUUAGCGGCGGACGGGUGAGUAACACGUGGAUAACCUACCUAUAAGACUGGGAUAACUUCGGGAAACCGGAGCUAAUACCGGAUAAUAUAUUGAACCGCAUGGUUCAAUAGUGAAAGACGGUUUUGCUGUCACUUAUAGAUGGAUCCGCACCGCAUUAGCUAGUUGGUAAGGUAACGGCUUACCAAGGCAACGAUGCGUAGCCGACCUGAGAGGGUGAUCGGCCACACUGGAACUGAGACACGGUCCAGACUCCUACGGGAGGCAGCAGUAGGGAAUCUUCCGCAAAGGGCGAAAGCCUGACGGAGCAACGCCGCGUGAGUGAUGAAGGUCUUCGGAUCGUAAAACUUUGUUAUUAGGGAAGAACAAAUGUGUAAGUAACUAUGCACGUCUUGACGGUACCUAAUCAGAAAGCCACGGCUAACUACGUG
rnacentral:rRNA from 1 species